rnacentral:lncRNA from 1 species
UGUGUCUUUGCACGUGCUGUUCCUUCUGCCUGAAGGCUCUUCCCUUGAUAUUCUCAUCAUAGCUCACUCACUGGCUUCCUUUAGCUCUGCUCAAAUGCACUUCUUUAGAGAGACCUUCUGGACCAGCUCAAAAAGCAUUCCCAUCACUCGUUAUUGCCUUCCAUGUAUCAUUUGUUUUCAUAACACUUAUCAUCAACUGAUGAAUUGUAUACAUAUACAAUUAUAUAUAUGUUACAUAUAAUUUACUGUAUGUUUUAGAUCAGUUUUGGGUUCACAGCAAAAUUAAGAGGAAGACACAGAGAUUUCCCAUAUGCCCCUUCCCUGACACAUGCACAGCCUCCUCCAUAUCAACAUCCUCCACCAGAGUGGCACAUUUGUUACCAUUGAUGACCCUACAUUGGCAUACCCUCAUCACACAAAGUUUAUAGCUUAUCUUAGGGUUCAUUCUUGGUGUUCAUUCUGUGGGUUUGGAUAAAUAUAUGAUGACAAGUAUCCACCAUUUUAGUAUCAUACAGAGUGUUUUCACUGCCCUAAAAGCCCUCUGUGCUCUACCUGUGCAUCCCUUCUUCCUCCAACCCUUGGCAACCACUUAUCUUUUUACUGUCUCUAUAGUUUUGCCUUUUUGAGUGUCAUGAAGUUGAAUUCAUCAGUUAUGCAGCCUUUUCAGAUUGGCUUCAUUCACUUAGCAGUAUACAUUUAAGUUUCCUCAAUGUCUUCACAGCUUGAUGAGCCAUUACUUUGUAGUGCUGAAUAAUAUUCCAUUGUCUCGAUGUACCAGAGUUUAUUUGUCCAUUCACCUACUGAAGGACAUCUUGGUUGCUUCACAAGUUUUGGAGCAUAAAGGUAUUUUUAUUUAUUUCAGUCUUCUCUGCCUGGAUUGUUUUGGGUUUUAUUGGAUAAGUUUUCCUAGAAAUGCUUUGUAAUUUAAUUGUAGAUUAUCUUUUUUUUUCCCCAAUGAUGUUGUUGCCUCUUUUUUGGCACUAGAUGGUGCCUUAAGCCCAGGGUUGCCUCAGUUGUAGUAAACAACCAGAGUGCUGCCCAUUCCAAAUGGGAGAGAUCUCAAAGGGGACAUCCUGGCAGUGUGGGAAGGCUGGCUAAGAGUUUAUGCCCAGGGGACCUGUGGAACAAACCUUCCACAGUGUAGUGCUGCUGCACAGCCACACUAAUUUGGCAUUUCCUUUGGCCUAGUUACAUAGUAAAGCUUCAGGGUCUGGGAAUGGUAAUACCCCCACCUUUGUCACUGGCUGUAAUCAGGGUUAUUUCUCCUUUCAGGCACUCCUGAUGCUUCCCAUGGGUUGAGACAGGGACUGUUGUAGUAGGGAGCCCAAGUUGGUAAAGAAGCUGGUUGUGCACCUCAGUCUCACUUUUUCCAGUGUAGAAACUGUGAGUCAGGGAGAAAUUUUUCUCAUGCUUGGUGCUGUGCCAGGCAGACUUGGAGGGAAGGGUGUCAUGGAUACGGUAGUCCUUUUACUAUCUGCCCCGAGUGAUUUCACAGCUCUGUUGCCCUGGGAACUGUCUCAUUCUGAUAUUUGAGUUCUGGGAUAUUGCUGGCAAUAAUCUCAGUACUGUGUAUUUGUUUUUGGUUUUUGUGGGGAGAGUGAAACCAGCUUGCUUUUACUCUGCCAUUUUGAAAUCAAAAGUCCUAUUAUACUAUCUUGAUUACUUUAGUAGUGUUAUUAAUCCAACUUUAUUCUUUUUGUUCAAAAAUUGUUUUAGCUAUCCUAAUUCCUUUUCCUUUUCACCUGAAAUUUAGAAUCAGCAUGUGUACAUAUAUGGCUGAACUUUUUAUUGGAACUGCAGUAAAUUUAUAAAUGUGUUUGGGGAAAAUUUUCAUUCUUACUAUGUUGAGUUUUCCAAUCAAUGAACAUUGUGUAUCUCUGCUUUUAUCUAGAUCUUUGAUUUCUUUGAUUUCUUUCAUCUGUGUUUCAUAGUUUUCAGCAUAUAGAUCCUGUGAACAAUCAUAAAUGCUGUUUUUUUAACAUUCAGUUUCAAAUUAUAAUUCCUAGUAUAUAGAAAUGAUUGAUUUUUAUAAACAAUUAUUUUUCAGUAAAAAUAAGUGACUUUUCUUUAUAGACUGUUUCUGAAGGAUUCUACUUUAUGUUCAUGGAAAUUACACUCUUUUAAUCCUGAGAUUUUAUGGAUUGCUGAAGUAUAUAAUUAAAUUGUGUAGUCAUUAUAAUAUGUACAGGUGGCAGAAACAGGUUGGGAACAAACCCAAUCAACUCUUGGUAAGCAUACAAAUAAAACAGGAAGAGCAAAAGUAUAUCAGUGUAUCACAGUAGACUACUGGGCUAUAGGGAUUCAGCAUGGUCAUGAAAAAAUAGAGUAAACAGAAGGUCAGUCAGUUAAUCUGGAGAGUCAGCUAAGCGAAGGUCAUUUAAGAGAGCUUCUACUGAAAGAUCUACACAAAAGAGACAAGAAGGCAAUAGAAAGGCCCAGUUCCUAUGAUUGCAUUUAAACAUAAAACUAAUGCUAUAUCUUGAGAACAUAAGAAACAUAUUUUAUACUCGUCACAAUAUAUCUACUGAAGGAGCACUUAUAAAGAAGGAAAAAUAGCUAUUACAAUCAUGUUUUUGAAAAAUAAUGAUGGUAGGAAAGAUCAUAAUUAUAAUACUAAGUGAAAAAAAUCUUAGGAUACAAAAAUGUUAUGUACAAUACAAUAUUACUCCCAAUUAUACAAAAAAGUAUUUUUAGAAGAAAGACGAAAAAUACAUCGAAAUGUUUAUAAUAAUUAUGUAUGGCUGUUGGGAUAUGGUUGGCAUUUAUUUACUUGUUUUUGCUGUUUUUACAUUUUUACAGCUUUUACAAUGCCUAUGGGUUAUUUUUACAAUCAGAAGAAGUGUCAUUUUUAAAAGAAGAAGAAUUCUUUCUAUACUUUAUUUGCCUCAUUGAGAUAUCUGACAACAGUAUCCUCAUUGUUCUCUUUUGUUGUAAUGAAAAACCAUUUCAGGAUUUUGGCAUUUCCCACCAAUUCCCUAUGCCUUUUAAGGAACCAAGCAAGCUUCAGUAGUCUCUGCCAUUUGAUAAGUUACAUUAAUGAUUAUGACAACAAUAAUUGUACAGGCUUUGCAAAGCUAUUUAUUUAAUAAAAUCAUUACUAUAAAGACUUUAAAGAACUACAAGCAAGGGUCAGGGCCAACUUCAUGAUUGUCCCCUUCAUAGUCAUCCAAGUCUUCAAUUUAGCUAAGGUCACAAGCCCCAUGUAGAGAGUCAAACCAGAAACCAUUAAAUACAGUUAUUUCACUCUUUCUCCUCAUUUCCUUGCAUAGGCUAACCUUAGAGUUUGCUGGCAGGUGCUAGAGUUAUACAUAAAAUUCCAGAUCAAUAGCCGGGGAAUUUAAAAAGAAGGUGCAGAACAUCAUACAGAAUCUAAGGCUAUUCUCUCUCCCAGUUAGUGGUUCUUUUCUUUGUCGGUUUUCUUAAAUGAGUGGUUCUUAACCUUUCCUGGAUCAUAAUAUUUUCAGUCAUUUUAUGUAGACACUCAAAUUUCCCUAAAUUCUUGCAUCAACAAAUCCAUUCCCUCCCCCAAAUCUAUUACCAAUGCACUGGAUUUAUUACAGGCACAUGUUUCACGUCAGUCCCCCAUAGGUAGCUUUAGCUCAGGCUCUAUCUCCUCUCACCUUCACUGUGCCAGUAGCCUCCGAAGUGGGCUCCCUAACUCUAGUCUCCUGAGUAGCAUCCAUCUUCCAC